GACGAACGCUGGCGGCGUGCUUAACACAUGCAAGUCGAGCGGUAAGGCCCUUUCGGGGGUACACGAGCGGCGAACGGGUGAGUAACACGUGGGUGACCUGCCCUUAGCUCUGGGAUAAGCCUGGGAAACCGGGUCUAAUACCGGAUAUGACUCCAUGACGCAUGUUGUGGGGUGGAAAGCCUUGUGCGGCUGGGGAUGGGCCCGCGGCCUAUCAGCUUGUUGGUGGGGUGAUGGCCUACCAAGGCGA
rnacentral:rRNA from 1 species